rnacentral:rRNA from 1 species
UACAGAGGCCCCAAGCGUUACUGAGAAUCACUGGGUUUAAAGGGUGCGUAGGUGGUCCGUUAAGUUCGUUGUGAAAUCCCUGGGCUCAACCCAGGAAAUGCUUCGAAUACUGGCGGACUUGAGGCUAGUAGAGGUCACUGGAACUGACGGUGGAGCGGUGAAAUGCGUAGAUAUCGUCAGGAACGCCGAUGGUGAAGACAGGUGACUGGGCUAGUUCUGACACUGAGGCACGAAAGCGUGGGGAGCGAUCCGG